rnacentral:lncRNA from 1 species
UGCAUGAAAUGUUCUUGUUGAGCAAUCACAGACGAGCAAACUGAACAGUUAUGAUAGAAUAUAGAUAGUUAUUAUUCAGCAAUGUUUAGCUUGUUUAUUUCCGCCGCCUGCAAACGCUUCUUUUCGCUUUCCUCUCGAGUGUCAACUUGAUCUCGGUCGUCUGGACGAACCCUACCGACUCUCAUGGGUACGACAUUUAGACGGUAGGGUUCGUCCAGACGACCAUAGGCACGGUAGCGCUCGUGGUGGCAGAGGGCUACAACACACUGUCCUACAACAUACUGUCAAUAUAAACAAAGCAGUUCAAAAGUGUCAAUUCAGGUUUAUUGCAGGUUUAGUGCCGUUUCUCACAGUCACAGUAUGUCAGGAACCUAAACGUUCAGGUAACUUCUUGACCGUAAUUUUGGCAGAGGCAGAGGCCGAGUUACCCAGUCUGAUGAAGUUGUAGCAGUUUCUAAUCAAGAAACUGCUAGUGAAAUAACUCCCAGUCUAAUGAAAGAAGUGGUGUACAGGAUAUCAUUCAUUCAGUCGAACUGGAAAAGACAUCAUUGAAGCAAGCAUUUCACAAUUUAACAAGUAGAAAAAGGAAGCAAUCAAGAAAGCGAGUGGAAAACUCGCAUGAAAGACAAAGAAGAUGCUUGGGAUGCCAAGAGAGAUGCUGUCUUUCAAAACUACAUUAGCUCCCGUUCCUACAGUGCAAGUAAAUGUGGUGUAUGUGAAAAAGGCACUAAUCCUGUACAUCACUGUUGAAGUGUCCCUUCCUGUCCAGAAUGCAAAAGCCCUCAUUCGUGUACUACGAAACCUGGUUCAAGAGACGUAACCGUAGUUACAGCCAAUGGUAAAUGAGGGCAACUUCACGGAGGACAACCGAUUACCAGGAUUACAUCGACGAAGACACAGCCAAUUAUCAAGACUACGCUGAUGAAGAAAAUGAAGAAAAAAACUGUUAUCCAUCGUUUAAAACGCUCACAUAUAUUGUCAUGCAAAUCUUGUAAUCACAUUUGAAAUACAGCUAUUGUUUGAAGGGAAUAAAAGUAUAAUAAUGA